rnacentral:misc_RNA from 1 species
AAGCAGAAGCACAUUAUUUUGCCUUCAAUGAAGUUAAACUGUUGGGGUGGGAACGAGACAUCUAACUCCUGGGUUGACAGGUCCAAAUCACAGAUAAUCAUUUCUGCAAGCAAAUUGACCUUUUUUUAGAUUGAUUUACUUCGUGUAAGUAUGAAUAUAGUGAACACAGGUGCCAAACAGAGGACUAUGGAGACUUAGAAAUGAACUGGUACAUUGCAUUUCUGAA